UAACCAUUAAAUUUUGGUCAGUAUUCUAUGUUGAACGAGACACUGUUGUGUGCCGCAAGUUUGCAACCGAAAUUUUGUUAUUUACCUCGAGAAACCUGCGUUGGUCGAAAAUAUGCGAAAACGAUCUAAAACUGAAAACAAUUA
rnacentral:lncRNA from 1 species